GCCCCAUCUUUAGCUCAGUUGGUAGAGCGGAGGACUGUAGAUCCUUAGGUCGCUGGUUCAACUCCGGCUCGAAGGAGGCU